CGCUCCUAGGGGUGGAGAUGGGGGUUACUGGGGACCCCUGGCUUCCUCCAUGGCCCAGCCACGUCCCCACCCGGUCCAGGGGCCCAGCUCUCGCUAUUGGGAGCAGCUGUUGACCCCUGUAUGGGGCCCAGCCCUGGGGGUGCCUCAGUACUAGGUGCAAAUCUGCUUUUCUAAGGUGGGGCCUGUGGAGUCUCCACCAGCUCUGCACAGAGGAAAAAGUCACAGCCAGGCACGAAGAGUGAGGCUGAGGAGCCAGACACUGCUGGGGCGUGAAGUGAGGCUAACACAGGCCAGGGCGGCCAGACCCCGCCGUUUCCCCCAGAAGAACCAGACAUCUGGUUUGCAUGAGAAACCUCCCCAGUGCCGACAUGUUCCCAAACAAGCCCAGGAAGAGGAGGAAAAGGAUGUGGGCACUGCCCGGUGUGGGCCACCACUGGCUCCUGCAGGCCGGCUGCCCCCACCCCCUGCCGGGGCCCAGGGGCCAGAAGACACGCCCACCUGGAACACCUUGUUCUGCAGCUUGAUCUUCCGGUACUUCUCCUCCUCGGGGUGCAGGUGGAUGUUGUCCAGGUACCUGGGGUAGGUGGAGAGGGUGAGGGGGGCACAGCCCAGGCUGCCCGCCCGGUCCCUCUGUGCCUCCUGCCCCAGGUCAGUGGCUCAGCCACACUUGGCCUCUAGUCAGAGGGAAGAAGCGGCCCAGUGACUCCAGGGCAGGAGACCGUCUCCAGGUGGAAGGCAUACCUCGCACACCCCACGGAGCCCACCCCUGGUGCCAGCAGGAGCCCCAUGGGACCCCUCACUGUCCCACCAGCCCCGGAAGGGCACCAGUGAACCACAGCGGUGGGGGAGCCACAGGGCAGGAAGAGUGGAGAGCCAGAGCCGGGGGGCCGCAGCGCCAGCAGGGGGCUCCUGUGGGGGGCUCCCUCGGGGCUGGCGGGCAGCGUGGACUUCCAGGCCUGUCCCCAAUCCUGAGACUCGGGGAGUGGGGUGGGACCCUGCCUCCUCCACACGUUCCCCGAGUGGUCCCCAAGGAAGCCAGGGUGGGCAACCCCUGAUUCCGUAAACACCUUCAUUUCACACAUGGGUAAACAGACCCAAAGAGGCCCAGUCCUUUGCCCGAGGCCUCUGGGUGGAGCUGCCUCACUCUCAGCCUGUGCUCCCUUCCUAGCCCACCUCAGCAGGUCAUGAGGGCACCAGAGAGGGUGACAGCCCCAGUGGGAAGGGUGCUGGGGCGAGCCGGAGGGGCCAGGCAGGGCAAAGGGGCCACGCACUCACUUGGCAAUGGUGUCCACGCCCAGCUUCACCCGGUCCCGGUCUUUGUUGAACGUGUGGAUCUUCAUGAUGGAGGCAGCCACUGGGUCGGUGGAGAAGUGCUGGGAGGAGGGAAACAGGGAAAGCUGCUCACUGAGAACCCGGGCCGCACGGCCCUCCGCUGCCCAGGUAACAGGGACAGGAAGAGGAAGGCAGAGCAGCGGCGUGGAGCAGCCCUAGCUGUGCACUCAUCACAGAAAGGAAAAGAGAGACCCUCGAAGACCCCGGCCCUGCCCACACGCCAGGGCAGAGGCGACACAGCCAAGACGGACCAGAACUCAGGUCUGCCCUUCCGCCUUCUCAAGGCUAGACCCACGGGACUUGGGGGCCGGUGUGACGUGACAGAACUUUGCCUCGCACUCUGGCUUUAGAACUCGACCUCAGUGCUGAGAUCCACCAAGGCCGCUGCCCCUUACAGAACCUCCCGCCACCAUGGACACCACAUCCCUCCUGAUCUCACAGCCCCAUGAUGGACAUUCCGGAACGACUCCCGGGUCUCAUGUCAAGAAAGAGACCCAGAGGCCCCUUGUCACAGGGAUGGCAGGUGGCAGAGAGGACACAAAUGAGUCUGCAACCCUCAAUGUCUGAAACUCAAUGGCUGGAAGACGGAUACCCCCAGCCCCUGCCCCACCCCGAGGUCCCGCCUAUGUUACUAGGGGAGGGGAGAAGUCACAGCCAGAAUUCCUGGGGUUUCCCAGAGCCAGCCCUGCUGACUGCGAUGUACAGCGUCCCAGCACGGAGAGGCUAAGAACAGGUACCCUAAGACCCGGACAAGACUGAGGCACAAAUCCAUUCACGCUCAGCACAGCUACCGCACACGGCCACACCCAGAGAGCCACCCAUGGCCUGCCAAGCAGCGCUGCCACCCGCACCUCCCUGGGCUGCCCAGAUGAGGGCGGGUGAACAGCAGGGCCGCCCAGGGCCACGUGUCAGGAUUCAGGCCACCUGCCCAGGCAGCCCAGAGCUCUACCCACCACCCCCACCCUCAACUGCACAACAGGGUCCCUCAGCAGCCCCCUGCGUCACACAGACCCAUGACCCACACACUGAGCCGGGGCUCAUGCCAACAGAAAACUGGGACCCAGCCCAGUCUGCCGGUUUAGUUGCCGAGGUGAUGUGGGCAGCAGGGCAGAGCUCGCGGCUGCAGAGAGAGGCAGAGCUGCGAGACACCCCUGCCGUCCCCAGGACAACAGCUUCCUGGGGAUCAGAGUGCCUGGGACAGCACACCUGCCAAGGGAAGGGCGUCAGCUCCAAAAGCGGCCCUCGGGCGUUUUAGGCGACUGGCCGCCAGGCUUAGGUCAGGAGCUGGGUACGUGCGCAGACAAGGGACGAAGGAACAGUGGCCAGGAAGGCGUCCAAAUCCAUACAGGAAUGUACUUUGUAAGAAAGGUGGGAUUUCACAACUGUGAGCAAAAGACAGGUGCUCUCCACAGGUGGGGCUGAGAAGAGAACUGAGCCAA